UCUAAUAUGGCAGAUAAGUGCAAUGGAUUUAAGCUCCAUAUAUAAGGGUUUAUGCCUUUUGUUAGAA
rnacentral:tRNA from 1 species